GAUGAACGCUGGCGGCGUGCCUAAUACAUGCAAGUCGAGCGAACAGACGAGGAGCUUGCUCCUCUGACGUUAGCGGCGGACGGGUGAGUAACACGUGGAUAACCUACCUAUAAGACUGGGAUAACUUCGGGAAACCGGAGCUAAUACCGGAUAAUAUAUUGAGCCGCAUGGUUCAAUAGUGAAAGACGGUUUUGCUGUCACUUAUAGAUGGAUCCGCGCCGCAUUAGCUAGUUGGUAAGGUAACGGCUUACCAAGGCAACGAUGCGUAGCCGACCUGAGAGGGUGAUCGGCCACACUGGAACUGAGACACGGUCCAGACUCCUACGGGAGGCAGCAGUAGGGAAUCUUCCGCAAUGGGCGAAAGCCUGACGGAGCAACGCCGCGUGAGUGAUGAAGGUCUACGGAUCGUAAAACUCUGUUAUUAGGGAAGAACAAAUGUGUAAGUAACUAUGCACGUCUUGACGGUACCUAAUCAGAAAGCCACGGCUAACUACGUG
rnacentral:rRNA from 1 species